UCCCCAGUGGUUCAGUGGUAAGACUCUGCACUCCCAACGCAGGGGUUAUGGGUUCAACCCCUGGUUGGGGAA
rnacentral:tRNA from 1 species